AUAGAGGAUAUGUCUAAUAGACUA
rnacentral:siRNA from 1 species